GUUUUUGGUCGAGUUUGCGAGCGUACAAUUAUUUUCACUUUGGGCCUGAAACGCACCAUAAUUCAAUUCGCAAUGAUUGUACAUCCGCUAAAAAAAGUCAGCCGAAACAUAAAACCUCAACAUGGAUAAGUCAACAUACAAGUGUUUUUUUAUCAUCAAGAGAAGAGGGAUUGGGAGAGAAAAGAAGAGGAUGGGAGAAGGAAAAAGAGACUAGAAAGAAAUAAAAAGAGAGAAAGAGAAGCAGCAUCAAAUGCUGUCAGGG
rnacentral:lncRNA from 1 species